UACGAGAGCCUCAAGCGUUAUCCGGAAUUAUUGGGCGUAAAGGGUGUGUAGGCGGUAAUGUUAGUCUCAUGUCAAAGCCUGUCGCCAAACGACAGAUCCGCAUGGGAAACGGCAUAACUAGGAGGGUGCGAGAGGUGAAUGGAACUCACGGUGUAGGGGUGAAAUCCGUUGAUAUCGUGGGGAACGCCAAAAGCGAAGGCAAUUCACUGGCGCAUACCUGACGCUGAAACACGAAAGCCAG
rnacentral:rRNA from 1 species